GACUUGAUGUCGUGCCGUCAGCUGCAGCAGAAGAAGAGAGGUCCCAAUCGAAAAUCCGUCAAUACCGACCAUGUUCUGUCUCGCUGUGCUGCUGCUGCUGGCUGCUGGACGCUGUGUGAAGUGUGAAACUUUAACACAGCCAGCCUCUGUGACUGUGCAGCCAGGUCAACCUCUGACCAUCAGCUGCCAGGUCUCUUAUUCACUCACCAGCUACUGGACACAUUGGAUCAGACAGCCUGCAGGAAAAGGACUGGAGUGGAUUGGCCAGAAACAUGGUGGAGGGACCACAUACUAUAAAGAUUCAUUAAAGAACAAGUUCAGUAUCGAAUUAGACACAUCCAGCAAAACAGUGACUCUAAAGGGACAGAACGUGCAGCCUGGAGACACUGCUGUGUAUUACUGUGCCAGAGAAACACAAUGA